GGGGUCAGCUCAGUGGCAGAGUGUUUCCCUAGCAUGUGCGAGGCCUAGGUUCAAUCCCUGGUAUUUCA
rnacentral:tRNA from 1 species